rnacentral:tRNA from 1 species
UGGCUGAGCAGAAAAGCGCUUGGCUUUCGAACAUGGGUCCCAGGUUUAAAUCCUGG